UAGAGUUAUGAGUUCCCGAUAGGAUUCACGUGAUGCGUGAAGAAGCCUUGUAACCUUAAAAAAUAAUAGGGGGAAAAUAGAAUG
rfam:Lactobacillus buchneri CD034, complete genome.